UACGUAGGGGCAAGCGUUGUCCGGAAUCAUUGGGCGUAAAGAGCGCGUAGGCGGCCCAGUAAGUCGCUCUGAAAGUCAGGGGCUCAACCCCUGAAUGCGGGUGGAUACUGCUGGCUUAGAGUCCGGAAGAGCGAGUUGGAAUUCCUGGUGUAGCGGGUGAAAAUGCGUAGAUAUCAGGAGGAACACCGGUGGUGUAGACGGCUCACUGGCCGUAACUGACGCUGAGACACGAAAGCGUUGGGUAGCAA
rnacentral:rRNA from 1 species